UGGCUCAGGACGAACGCUGGCGGCAUGCCUAACACAUGCAAGUCGAACGGGGGUAGCAAUACCCUAGUGGCGAACGGGUGAGUAACACAUAAGCAAUCUGCCCUUCACAGGGGGAUAACAGCGGGAAACUGCUGCUAAUACCGCAUAAGACCACGGUACCGCAUGGUACAGGGGUAAAAAACGAUCGGUGGUGAAGGAUGAGCUUAUGUCCCAUUAGCUAGUUGGUGAGAUAACAGCCCACCAAGGCGACGAUGGGUAGCCGACCUGAGAGGGUGAUCGGCCACACUGGAACUGAGACACGGUCCAGACUCCUACGGGAGGCAGCAGUGGGGAAUAUUGGGCAAUGGAGGAAAAACCUCUUACCCAGCAAUGCCGCGUGAGUGAAGAAGGUCUUCGGAUUGUAAAGCUCUUUGAUUGGGGACGAAGAAAGUGACGGUACCCAAAGAACAAGCCCCGGCUAACUACGUGCCAGCCGCAGC
rnacentral:rRNA from 1 species